rnacentral:lncRNA from 1 species
CUCCAAUUAGGCAAGGAAAUGAAAGGAGCUGUGUGCAAUUUCCAGCAGCUGGUAACUUCCUCACUCUGCUCCCAGGAUGGCUGGGUUUGGAUUGAUCCAGCCAGGAGUCUGUGCUGCUUUGCCCAUAGGGUCAGAGGAGGGAAGGGGCACUUGGUGUUGGCGGUUCCCAGGCAUCAUCCCAGAGGGAAAUACCUUUCCUGCUCCCAUUGGCAGAGGUACUGUAUGACUGGUCUUGUGAAAUUCAGAUGCCAACAAUUGGCUUGGAUGAGCAGCAGUACUCGCUCAGUGAAGCGAAAGCCGAGGAAUACAAUUGCUCUAUCCUUCCUAAUUGAAAUGGAAAAAAUGCUGCCAUAUCAGCCCAUCAAAAAUAUUGCAAGCUUAUCUCUUAUUAAUUUACAUUUGGAGAUGCACCCUGGAACAUGA